AUGAUGGAAACAGCCACCAUGUUGUGAGGACACUCAAUUAGCCUUGUGGAGAGACCCACAUGGGUGAGAAACUAAGGUCUGCCACCAACAGCCCACAUCCAUUGCCAGCUCUGAGAGCAAAUAGAUCCUGCAGACCUAGUCAAGCCUCAUUUGACUGACACCUCAGUCAACAUCUUGACUGCAAGCCCAUGCAAAACACUGAGCCAGAAACCACCCACCCAAGAAGCUGUGAAUUCCUGACUGGCAAAAAAUGCUGAGCAGAAAACCAGGAAGUGGAUGGACUCCACCUCCGCAGCCACGCCUGCCCGUUUGCGCUUACUGGACUGAGGUCCUCAGGAACGUGGUGAGACAAAGAGAAAGGAGGGCGUUUUCGCCACCCUCUUGCUAAUGCUUCAGUAACUCCCCAUUGCCCUAAUGAGCUCACCAUCAGAGCCUGAUUAAGACCUUUGGAGGCCCUAAAAUUAUAAGACCCACUAUCUCCAUCAAUGUAAUUAAAAAAAAAAAAAAACUUUAAAUGGAACUUUACCAAAAAGCCGA
rnacentral:lncRNA from 1 species